rnacentral:rRNA from 1 species
UUUUUUUGAAAUUAUUGUUGAGGGUACAGAAGCCUCAAAAGUUAAUUAGACGGAAAGACCCCGGGAUCUUUUAAUUUUGCCUGGGGCAGGUUUUAAUAUUUCAUUAAUAUUAUGACCCUAGUGGUUUAGUGAGUAAGUUACCCCGGGGAUAACAGUGUGAUAGUUAAUAAGAGAUCGUAUCGAAUUAAUUGUUUGCCACCUCGAUGUUGAC